UGCAGCCGCCGCGGUACUACCGGCAGCCCGAGUGAUGGCCGAUAUUAUUGGGCCUAAAGCGUCCGUAGCUGGCCGAACAAGUCCGUCGGGAAAUCCACGUGCUUAACACGUGGGCGACCGGCGGAAACUGUUCGGCUUGGGGCCGGAGGACCCGAGGGGUACGUCCGGGGUAGGAGUGAAAUCCCAUAAUCCCGCACGGACCACCGGUGGCGAAAGCACUUCGAGAAAACGGAUCCGACAGUGAGGGACGAAAGCCAGGGUCUCCAACCGGAUUAGAAACCCCUGUAGUCC
rnacentral:rRNA from 1 species